rnacentral:lncRNA from 1 species
CUCUGAGCUGUUACAUCGACCAGCCUGCCGGCAGCAGAGGUCUUCCAGGGAGGCUGAAGGCAAGAGCGGCUUCUCUUCAGGUGAGAAGAAACAUCAGAAGCAGUUGAGGGACCAGGAAGUGGGUCCUCUAGCAAUGAGGAGACAUUCUGCUGGAUAGCUUUUUAAAAUGUUUCCUCCAAAGUCAUCUGCCUCAUUAACAAUGGUUUUUGUCUUAGAAGCCUCUGAUUUUAUUAACUGACAUGACUUCUUGUUCUGUUAUGAAUACAUGCUGCUUUCAUCCUUCAAUAAGCCCAUCACACAUUUUCAGCAUGCUGCCUAUAGGUACUUUUUCUGCAAUGUUAAGAUCAACUUCAUUGUCACCAUCAUCUUUUUGUUGUUGUUGUUUCUUUAAUUUUCUUUGUAGAGACAGG